rnacentral:rRNA from 1 species
UCCCGACGCCCCGAGUCGCAGCCACAAUUAUUGGGUCUAAAACAUUCGUAGCCUGUUCAGUAAGUUCUUUGUGAAAUUCUAAAUCUUAAGUUUAGAGCGUGCAAAGAAUACUGCUGGGCUUGGGACUGGAAGAAGUAAGAAGUAUGUUCGAGGUAGUGGUAAAAUAUGUUAAUCUCGAACAGACUAACAACAGCGAAGGCAUCUUACUAGUACAGAUCUGACGGUGAGGAAUGAAGGCUAGGGUCGCGAAACG